AACACGCGCCUGGUUUAUUUUACAGUGUAUGUGAUCCCGCGUAUGGAUUUGUAGUUCAGAGGUUUAUUGUUGACUUUGAUCAGUCGGAUGAAAUGAAAGGUACACAUUUGUUUUUAAAGGCGUUGACAGCUAAUUAACGAGGGACAACUAAAGUCGUCAUUCUUUGGCAUUUUUGGAAGUAGUUUAGAAGUUCAAAUGCCUCUGUUUGUUGUUGUUGACAGAUAUCUUGGAGAAGAGGAAGAUGGAAGCGUCUCCAAAGAGUCUCAGAGUCGGGUGCUGCUGGCUAAGCUGCAGCAGAAGGUGAAACAGAAGCAGAGACAGAGUCUGACAGAGCAGAGAGAAUCUGCGCAGAAAGCAGCAGGAUGAUAAAAACAAAGAAGAUGCAGAUAAAAACAGCAGUAAAGAUCAUCAGGUCCGCAAGAAGAGAAAAUCCAAAGUUGGAGCUCUGUGUGAUUCAGACCUUGACAACAAUGCUGCAAAGAAGAAGAAGGGGAAGACGCAGUUAGCUCAAGAUGUUUCUUCUGUGAGCAGAAGCAAUGAAACAGAGGACAAAAGACCUGGAGGAGUCAGAAAAAGAUUGAUCAAAACCAAAGCCAGAGAAAACUUUGUCCCCAGCAGGAUACACUGUUCUUGGUGGAUUUGACAGCAAAGUCCUUCAGAAGGUGUGACAGUAUGAUGACGGUAAAAGAGCCAGGCUUUUACCUUCUCAUCCAUUCUUUAUUGUUCUCUUCACAAGUGCACAGUGUUCUUCCUCAGUGGCUCGCUGAUUCCGAUGUCAUUCACAGAGACAUUAAAUGCAAACUGACACCCAUUUCUGCUGCGUCAGGGGUUUGUGCUCAGCUCCUGAAAAAACUGGAAAAUAAUGGAAUUCAUCACUUCUUUCCCGGUGAAGAAACUAGAAUCUAAUGCUGGUUUCUCAACUGCUUAUUGCUUAAGAGUUUACUAUGAUUCUGUUUUGUUUACAUUUAAAUUGUGUUUGAGGAUAUUUUUAUUUAUCAUAUAGUUCUUCAAAUUAGGUAGAGCAGUUGGGUCGUUCCAAAGCAGUUUGAUGGCUUUUGCUGAGCGAUGCAACAUGGGAGACACGGUUAUUUUUGUUGAAAGGGUUUUUUUUUUAAAGGAUACGUGUAAAACGGUUUGGUGAUCCUUUUCGGUGCAAGCAGAGGUGAUCCCAGCCAUCUUGGUGGGUGCACAGUCUGCUAGUUGGUGGAGGAGGCUACAGUGGCAAGACUCUUUCAUUUGUUAUACCUGUUGUAUAGGUACUUGUAUUCUUAAAGAGAAAUAUUUGUUUUGCGGUACAUGCCGGGCCUAGUGUGUGUGUAAGCUGCAUUGUGUGAUUGUUUUCAGGCGCUGAUGCAGCGGGUGGUGUGUGAAGUCCGGGCUUUGGCUGUACUCCCAACCAAAGAGCUUGUCCAACAGGUUUACAACGUUUUUGCCUCCUACGCUGAAGGAACGCCACUAAAAGUGUUGAUGCUGGCUGGCCAGAAGUCUUUUGCUGCAAAUAGGCAAAUAUGACAAUGAUAUCUGUAAUCUCCUUAGCUCUAAAGGCAUUCCACCUGCUUCAAUUUGGAGUGCACAUAUCGGGGAGGAUCUCAUUGCACCUAAACAGAGUCUUAAGGACAGCACCCUGAAUAGCAUCCAGCUUUUUUAAUCUUGAUUUCGCUGCAGACGCAUAUGCAAGACACCCAUAAUCAAUAACAGAUCUAAUCAACCCAGUAUAGUCUUUUCAUAGCAACUAUGGCUGCCCCCCCAUUCCUUACUACACAAACAUCUGAAUAUAUUCACAACUUUUUUACACUUAUCUACUAGUUUAUCGUUAUGAUAAUGCCAAUUAAGUCUAUAAUCAAAAUGCUCAAAACACUUUUCCUUCUUCUAAGUUGCUGUUGGACUUCUUCUUCUGGUGCUUUUUCCUGCAGCUGCUGUUUGUGGAGUAGCAAUACUGCCCUCUGCUGGUCUUGUUCAGCUCUGUUUAUUAAAGUUUCACCAUCAAAAAUGGACCUGAGAUGAACUGUUCACUAGCCUGGCAAGCCAGACUAAAUACAUGUAUUAUUUAGUCUGGCCACGCUCCAUUGACGGCUCUCGGUUGUGGGGCGGGUUCUACCGUUGUCUUUCAAAUGAUCUCCGCAUUCCAUUGGACAAUGAAUGUGACAUACUCUUGUUUCACUCUGUUGCAUCAUCCCACCCACCAGGCAUAUAGAGUGCCCUGAUUGGCCCACAAAGCGGAUAAAGCUCUGUGAUUUGUUCACUAAGCAGAUAGAGCACUAUGAUUGGCCCACCAUUAUGGACCAAUCACAGCUCUUUAUGUGUUUGAAACCCCUCUAGAGAGCUGUGAUUGGCUAGCCAGAGUCCUGGUAGGAGCUGCUGAGGUUCCAAUGGAGCAUGCCUAGACCAUUCUUUGCAAAGCAAGAAUUUGGUCUAGUUCACUAGGCUAACUGUUCACUUCACUAAAAUGUAAAGUUUAAAGAGAUUGUGCAAGAUUACUUGCUGAAGUGUCUGAGAUUUUCUAAAAAGAGUUAGCUAAAUAAAAAAUAUAUAGAAAUUCUAAUAUUGUCCCACAGGAACAGAUAUGACAGAAUUUGUGUAUUUAUUUCAUUUUUUUGUUUUUUUUUUGUUUUUUAGCCUUACAUUGUGUUAGUGAGAUGGGCAUAGGCAGAGAUCCCAGGGGGGAUG